rnacentral:rRNA from 1 species
CUACUCUGAACAUCCUGAUCUCAUCUGAUUUUGGAAGCUAAGCAGGGCCAGGCCUCAUUGGUACAUGGAUGGGUGAUCACUAUGAAAACCAAGA